AUUGAACGCUGGCGGCAUGCUUUACACAUGCAAGUCGAACGGUAACAGGCCGCAAGGUGCUGACGAGUGGCGAACGGGUGAGUAAUGCAUCGGAACGUGCCCAGUCGUGGGGGAUAACGCAGCGAAAGCUGUGCUAAUACCGCAUACGAUCUAUGGAUGAAAGCGGGGCACCGUAAGGCCUCGCGCGAUUGGAGCGGCCGAUGUCAGAUUAGGUAGUUGGUGGGGUAAAGGCUCACCAAGCCAACGAUCUGUAGCUGGUCUGAGAGGACGACCAGCCACACUGGGACUGAGACACGGCCCAGACUCCUACGGGAGGCAGCAGUGGGGAAUUUUGGACAAUGGGCGCAAGCCUGAUCCAGCAAUGCCGCGUGCAGGAAGAAGGCCUUCGGGUUGUAAACUGCUUUUGUACGGAACGAAACGGCGAGCUCUAAUACAGUUUGCUAAUGACGGUACCGUAAGAAUAAGCACCGGCUAACUACGUGCCAGCAGCCGCCGUAAUAC
rnacentral:rRNA from 1 species